GCACGUUGCAUGCAUUUGGAGAGAAACAGACGCUAUCGACCCGAGAGUAAAAGAGAGGAGGCAUCGUGGUGUGGGGAGCAUUUCAGUUUUUAUCGUGGAGGUCGACUACUCAUGGUCCUGAUAUACACGUCUACUAAACAAAACCCUGGUUUCUACUGCAGUUAUCUGUAGACAUGGCUGGCAGUUAUCUGUAGACAUGGCUGGCAGAUCGGAUGCCAACACCCCUCAUAGCGGAGAGCCUGAUGAUGAACUGGGGGAACUUGAUAACAUCUUGGCUGAUUUGCAAGAUGAAUCAGAGAAAUAUGGGGCUGGUACUAAAGCCAAGAGGAAGAAGCCUGAGAAACUUGUGAGGUGGAAGAAAAGGGACCAGUACGGACGUCUGAUUGCUGAGACUCAACAAUCUUCAGGAGGAGCUGGUCCCUCUUCCCGGCCUAAGGACACCUGUCCAGUGCAUAUGGUCCCAUGUCCUGAUGAUGCUUCAAACUAUGCACCGUUACAAGUGCAGUUACAAGAAACACACAAGGCACUUGACACACAGCUUCAGUUGCUGCAAGAAAGCCUUGAAGAUGAUCCUUUGGCCUGUUCAGAAGGAAGAGAGAUGUUGACUCGAACCUGGGAUAUGCGGCAAACACACUCGGAAGAGAAAUGGGAGAAUGCCAGGCCUAACCUUUUGGAGUCGAUGUUGUCAGCAGAGUGGACACUGGAUCAGUCCUGUGACCACUGCCACACAAAACGGGCUGUGAUUAGAUGUCGAGACUGCCUGCCCAAACACCUUUUCUGCAGUGACUGUGAUUUGGCUGUGCAUCGAAACUACGUUUUGCACAUUAGGGACUCAGUUGUAGAAGGUUUUUACAAGGCACUUCCACCUACAUGUCGUAUUGUGCAAGACGGCAGUGGAGCACAUGAAAUA